GGAAUAUUGGACAAUGGGGGAAACCCUGAUCCCGCAAUGCCGCGUGAGUGAUGACGGCCUUCGGGUUGUAAAGCUCUUUUACCCGGGAUGAUAAUGCCCGUACCGGGAGAAUAAGCUCCGGCUAACUCCGUGCCAGCAGCCGCGGUAAUACGGAGGGAGCUAGAGUUGUUCGGAAUUACUGGGCGUAAAGCGCGCGUAGGCGGCUAUUUAAGUCAGGGGUGAAAGCCCGGGGCUCAACCCCGGAACGGCCCUUGAAACUGGAUGGCUAGAAUCCUGGAGAGGCGAGUGGAAUUCCGAGUGUAGAGGUGAAAUUCGUAGAUAUUCGGAAGAACACCAGUGGCGAAGGCGACUCGCUGGACAGGUAUUGACGCUGAGGUGCGAAAGCGUGGGGAGCA
rnacentral:rRNA from 1 species